rfam:Ovis aries breed Texel chromosome 14, whole genome shotgun sequence.
UCUCUGGUGGCUCAGCUGGUAAAGAAUCUGCCUGCAAUGCAGGAGACCCAGGUUCAACUCCUGGGUUGGGAA